CUACCCAGAAGAGUGGCUCAAGUUCACAUUCAGAAUUUAUUUGUUGAAAGAGUAUCUCCACUUUAUCACAAUCGAGCACUUCCAAUUCUUUCAGAAGUGGCCAGCUUGAACUAAACCUUCUAGAGCAAAAUCUUUUCAGUUGGUGUAAACCGGAGAGUGUGAGAGAGGUAAGGUUAGGGAAUAAGAGUAAAGGUGCUGCUUCAUCUUCAUUUUCAUUGGCAACAAUUGCCUCCACUCCACUCUCCGAUAUAUAUAGGUCCUCAAGAUGCACAAGAGCACUCGCCACAGAAACCGGAAAAAGGUUUAGCAGUUUGUUGCAUCCCCUUACUUGCAAUUUCCUUAAUUUGGAAAAUGAAUUUGCUGGAAGUUGGUCAGGCCACAAUGCUCUUAUAUUAUCUAGUCCGCGUACAGACAAGGACUCCAACCCUGGGAGUGCAACCUCUGCAAUUGAUGAUCCCUUUAGUUAAUAAUAUAUACAUAUACAUUCCUAAUAAUUAGACACAUGUAAAUAGAAAAUAAGAGGUUAAAGGAGAAUAUAUCAGUAUAACAAAGCACAAAAUUUAAACUAGAUUCAAGAAGAUCAAGAAAGAGAAAAGAAAAGAAAAAGCCUCCAGAUUUUGAAGAUACAAUGAAACUUAAAAAAAAAAAAAAAAACCUUCAAAUUUUCCUUUCGAAAUGAGCUAAUAAGAGGAUUUUUUUUUUCUUUUUUCUUUGCAUCUCUUUCAAAUUUGAUUAACUUCUAUGGAAAACGUAUUUUAACUAGUUAUGGAAAACGGAUAUUUUUUUUUUAACUUUUAUAUAAGAUACAAGUAAUACUUUAAAAAAAUUGUGAUAUCUAAAUAAUUUUUUGAAAAAUUAUUUUGAAAGAAAUAAGGUAAAUCUAUACUUUUUGUAUAAGAUGUUCAACCUUUAUAUACAAAUUUCUAAUUUUUUUUUUUAAAGUGUAUCCAAAUGGACACUAAACUAUCUAGUUUUUAAUUGUUACAACUUUGAAUUGGAUUUUAUGGUAAACUAAUUUACAAGUUAAUGCAUGGAUUCAUCUUAGAUUCCAUCUAUAAAUUUUUUUAAUUAUCUAAUAUAAGACAUUAUAUUAAUGGGUUGAAUUAAUAAUGUAAUUAUAAUUUAUUUGGCAACUUUCUUCCUUCAAAUAUAUAAAAUGAAAAUAAAUUUUAAAAAAUAAAAAAAAUGAAAAAAAUAAAAAAUAAAAAAAGAUUUUUUUUAUAGUUUUUCUAAGGUGAUUUUGUAGAGUAUUGUUAGUUUAUAGUUUUAACUUUAUUUCAUUUUACUUUUAACUUUAUUUAUUGAGGUAUGUUCUUUUUUGCAACUCUUGUUUAGAUUUUAUAGAGAAUAUAAAUUUUAAGAAAAAAAAUGAAAUUUAAAUAAAAUAAGAAUAAAGAAAGGCAAAAGGUGGAUGAAUUUUCUUAAGGCAAAAGUUUGAUAACUUGGCACUAUCAUGUAAUGGGUGAAAUUUUUAAAUACUCAACAAAGGCUAGUGAAAUUUAAAUUAAAAGCUUGACAUGUACCUUUUCGACCAAAAUCUUUGGAGUUGGUGUAAAGUUUUGAGUAUGAGAGAGGUUAGUAUAGGGAAUAUUAUUGCACAUUAGUUCAAAUAAAACAUCAACAUUUUUUUUUGUUAAAUUCUAAAUGAACACCACUAUAAAUUAAUGCGAUUUUGUAUGCUCAAUUAAAUAAACUCGUUCUUAAGGCAUCACAUGAAGUGUUUAAGUCUAAUUAAUAUUAAUUAAAAAUGAUUAUAUUAAAAAAAAUCCAAAGUAAUUUAUUUUUAUCAUAAGUCAAGUAGGAUAGUUUUAUAAAUAAUUGGUUCUAGUUUCUAGUAUUAUUGUACACAAUCGCUAUGUUUGUUGCACCUCCAAAAAAUCUACUACUUGUAAUUAAUUGUAUAUUAUUCUCCAUAUUCACAUCAGUUUAUGUAGUAUGAUUAAUUUAGCAACAAAAUAUAAGUUUACUUGAAAUCGCUUUAAAUUCCUAUGAUAUUAAAGUUUAAGAUUAAAACAAUGUAACAUUAGCCAAAAAGAUUAAGAUCUAUAAUGUAACAUAUAAAAUUUAGAAAAUUCAAGGAAGGGUAAACUCGCACCUGUUCUACCCAGAAGAGUGGCUCAAGUUCACAUUCAGAAUUUAUUUGUUGAAAGAGUAUCUCCACUUUAUCACAAUCGAGCACUUCCAAUUCUUUCAGAAGUGGCCAGCUUGAACUAAACCUUCUAGAGCAAAAUCUUUUGAGUUGGUGUAAACCGGAGAGUGUGAGAGAGGUAAGGUUAGGGAAUGAGAGUAAAGGUGCUGCUUCAUCUUCAUUUUCAUUGGCAACAAUUGCCUCCACUCCACUCUCCGAUAUAUAAAGGUCCUCAAGUUGCACAAGAGCACUCGCCACAGAAACCGGAAAAAGGUUUAGCAAUUUGUUGCAUCCCCUUCCUUGCAAUUUCCUUAAUUUGGAAAAUGAAUUUGCUGGAAGUUGGUCAGGCCACAAUGCUCUUAUAUUAUCUAGUCCACGUACAGACAAGGACUCCAAGCCUGGGAGUGCAACCUGUGCAAUUGAUGAUCCCUUUAGUUAAUAAUAUAUACAUAUACAUUCCUAAUAAUUAGACACAUGUAAAUAGAAAAUAAGAGGUUAAAGGAGAAUAUAUCAGUAUAACAAAGCACAAAAUUUAAACUAGAUUCAAGAAGAUCAAGAAAGAGAAAAGAAAAGAAAAAGCCUCCAGAUUUUGAAGAUACAAUGAAACUUAAAAAAAAAAAAAAAAAAACUUCCAAAUUUUCCUUUCGAAAUGAGGUAAUAAGAGGAUUUUUUUUUUCUUUUUUCUUUGCCUCUCUUUCAAAUUUGAUUAACUUCUAUGGAAAACGUAUUUUAACUAGUUAUGGAAAACCGAUUUUUUUUUUUUUAACUUUUAUAUAAGAUACAAGUAAUACUUUAAAAAAAUUGUGAUAUCUAAAUAAUUUUUUGAAAAAUUAUUUUUAAAGAAAUAAGGUAAAUCUAUACUUUUUGUACAAGAUGUUCUACCUUUAUAUACAAAUUUCUGAUUUUUUUUUUAAAAGUGUAUCCAAAUGGACACUAAACUAUCUAGUUUUUAAUUGUUACAACUUUGAAUUGGAUUUUAUGGUAAACUAAUUUACAAGUUAAUGCAUGGAUUCAUCUUAGAUUCCAUCUAUAAAUUUUUUUAAUUAUCUAAUAUAAGACAUUAUAUUAAUGAGUUGAAUUAAUAAUGUAAUUAUAAUUUAUUUGGCAACUUUCUUCCUUCAAAUAUAUAAAAUGAAAAUAAAGUUUAAAAAAUAAAAAAAAUGAAAAAAAUAAAAAAUAAAAAAUGAUUUUUUUUAUAGUUUUUCUAAGAUGAUUUUGUAGAGUACUGUUAGUUUAUAGUUUUAACUUUAUUUCAUUUUACUUUUAACUUUAUUUAUUGAGGUAUGUUCUUUUUUGAAACUCUUGUUUAGAUUUUAUAGAGAAUAUAAAUUUUAAGAAAAAAAAUGAAAUUUAAAUAAAAUAAGAAUAAAGAAAGGCAAAAGGUGGAUGAAUUUUUUUAAGGCAAAAGUUUGAUAACUUGGCACUAUCAUGUAAUGGGUGAAAUUUUUAAAUACUCAACAAAGGCUAGUGAAAUUUAAAUUAAAAGCUUGACAUGUACCUUUUCGACCAAAAUCUUUGGAGUUGGUGUAAAGUUUUGAGUAUGAGAGAGGUUAGUCUAGGGAAUAUUAUUGCACAUUAGUUCAAAUAAAACAUCAACAUUUUUUUUUUGUUAAAUUCUAAAUGAACACCGCUAUAAAUUAAUGCGAUUUUGUAUGCUCAAUUAAAUAAACUUGUUCUUAAGGCAUCACAUGAAGUGUUUAAGUCUAAUUAAUAUUAAUUAAAAAUGAUUAUAUUAAAAAAAAUCCAAAGUAAUUUAUUUUUAUCAUAAGUCAAGUAGGAUAGUUUUAUAAAUAAUUGGUUCUAGUUUCUAGUACUAUUGUACACAAUCGCUAUGUUUGUUGCACCUCCAAAAAAUCUACUACUUGUAAUUAAUUGUAUAUUAUUCUCCAUAUUCACAUCAGUUUAUGUAGUAUGAUUAAUUUAGCAACAAAAUAUAAGUUUACUUGAAAUCGCUUUAAAUUCCUAUGAUAUUAAAGUUUAAGAUUAAAACAAUGUAACAUUAGCCAAAAAGAUUAAGAUCUAUAAUGUAACAUAUAAUAUUUAGAAAAUUCAAGGAAGGGUAAACUCGCACCUGUUCUACCCAGAAGAGUGGCUCAAGUUCACAUUCAUAAUUUAUUUGUUGAAAGAGUAUCUCCACUUUAUCACAAUCGAGCACUUCCAAUUCUUUCAGAAGUGGCCAGCUUGAACUAAACCUUCUAGAGAAAAAUCUUUUGAGUUGGUGUAAACCGGAGAGUGUAAGAGAGGUAAGGUUAGGGAAUAAGAGUAAAAGUGCUGCUUCAUCUUCAUUUUCAUUGGCAACAAUUGCCUCCACUCCACUUUCCGAUAUAUAUAGGUCCUCAAGUUGCACAAGAGCACUCGCCACAGAAACCGGAAAAAGGUUUAGCAAUUUGUUGCAUCCCCUUACUUGCAAUUUCCUUAAUUUGGAAAAUGAAUUUGCUGGAAGUUGGUCAGACCACAAUGCUCUUAUAUUAUCUAGUCCGCGUACAGACAAGGACUCCAAACCUGGGAGUGCAACCUGUGCAAUUGAUGAUCCCUUUAGUUAAUAAUAUAUACAUAUACAUUCCUAAUAAUUAGACACAUGUAAAUAGAAAAUAAGAGGUUAAAGGAGAAUAUAUCAGUAUAACAAAGCACAAAAUUUAAACUAGAUUCAAGAAGAUCAAGAAAGAGAAAAGAAAAGAAAAAGCCUCCAGAUUUUGAAGAUACAAUGAAACUUAACAAAAAAAAAAAAAAACCACCAAAUUUUCCUUUCGAAAUGAGGUAAUAAGAGGAUUUUUUUUUUUUCUUUUUUCUUUGCCUCUCUUUCAAAUUUGAUUAACUUCUAUGGAAAACGUAUUUUAACUAGUUAUGGAAAACAUAUUUUUUUUUUAAAAAACUUUUCUAUAAGAUACAAGUAAUACUUUAAAAAAAUUGUGAUAUCUAAAAAAUUUUUUGAAAAAUUAUUUUUAAAGAAAUAAGGUAAAUCUAUACUUUUUGUAUAAGAUGUUCUACCUUUAUAUACAAAUUUCUGAUUUUUUUUUUAAAAGUGUAUCCAAAUGGACACUAAACUAUCUAGUUUUUAAUUGUUACAACUUUGAAUUGGAUUUUAUGGUAAACUAAUUUACAAGUUAAUGCAUGGAUUCAUCUUAGAUUCCAUCUAUAAAUUUUUUUAAUUAUCUAAUAUAAGACAUUAUAUUAAUGGGUUGAAUUAAUAAUGUAAUUAUAAUUUAUUUGGCAAGUUUCUUCCUUCAAAUAUAUAAAAUGAAAAUAAAUUUUAAAAAAUAAAAAAAAUGAAAAAAAUAAAAAAUAAAAAAAGAUUUUUUUUAUAGUUUUUCUAAGAUGAUUUUGUAGAGUACUGUUAGUUUAUAGUUUUAACUUUAUUUCAUUUUACUUUUAACUUUAUUUAUUGAGGUAUGUUCUUUUUUGAAACUCUUGUUUAGAUUUUAUAGAGGAUAUAAAUUUUCAGAAAAAAAAAAUUAAAUUUAAAUAAAAUAGGAAUAAAGAAAGGCAAAAGGUGGAUGAAUUUUUUUAAGGCAAAAGUUUGAUAACUUGGCACUAUCAUGUAAUGGGUGAAAUUUUUAAAUACUCAACAAAGGCUAGUGAAAUUUAAAUUAAAAGCUUGACAUGUACCUUUUCGACCAAAAUCUUUGGAGUUGGUGUAAAGUUUUGAGUAUGAGAGAGGUUAGUCUAGGGAAUAUUAUUGCACAUUAGUUCAAAUAAAACAUCAACAUUUUUUUUUUUGUUAAAUUCUAAAUGAACACCACUAUAAAUUAAUGCGAUUUGUAUGCUCAAUUAAAUAAACUCGUUCUUAAGGCAUCACAUGAAGUGUUUAAGUCUAAUUAAUAUUAAUUAAAAAUGAUUAUUUUAAAAAAAUCCAAAGUAAUUUAUUUUUAUCAUAAGUCAAGUAGGAUAGUUUUAUAAAUAAUUGGUUCUAGUUUCUAGUAUUAUUGUACACAAUCGCUAUGUUUGUUGCACCUCCAAAAAAUCUACUACUUGUAAUUAAUUGUAUAUUAUUCUCCAUAUUCACAUCAGUUUAUGUAGUAUGAUUAAUUUAGCAACAAAAUAUAAGUUUACUUGAAAUCGCUUUAAAUUCCUAUGAUAUUAAAGUUUAAGAUUAAAACAAUGUAACAUUAGCCAAAAAGACUAAGAUCUAUAAUGUAACAUAUAAAAUUUAGAAAAUUCAAGGAAGGGUAAACUCGCACCUGUUCUACCCAGAAGAGUGGCUCAAGUUCACAUUCAGAAUUUAUUUGUUGAAAGAGUAUCUCCACUUUAUCACAAUCGAGCACUUCCAAUUCUUUCAGAAGUGGCCAGCUUGAACUAAACCUUCUAGAGCAAAAUCUUUUGAGUUGGUGUAAACCGGAGAGUGUGAGAGAGGUAAGGUUAGGGAAUGAGAGUAAAGGUGCUGCUUCAUCUUCAUUUUCAUUGGCAACAAUUGCCUCCACUCCACUCUCCGAUAUAUAAAGGUCCUCAAGUUGCACAAGAGCACUCGCCACAGAAACCGGAAAAAGGUUUAGCAAUUUGUUGCAUCCCCUUACUUGCAAUUUCCUUAAUUUGGAAAAUGAAUUUGCUGGAAGUUGGUCAGGCCACAAUGCUCUUAUAUUAUCUAGUCCGCGUACAGACAAGGACUCCAAACCUGGGAGUGCAACCUGUGCAAUUGAUGAUCCCUUUAGUUAAUAAUAUAUACAUAUACAUUCCUAAUAAUUAGACACAUGUAAAUAGAAAAUAAGAGGUUAAAGGAGAAUAUAUCAGUAUAACAAAGCACAAAAUUUAAACUCUAUUCAAGAAGAUCCAGAAAGAGAAAAGAAAACGCCUUUUGAUUUUGAAGAUCCAAUGAAACUUUAAAAAAAAAAAAAAAAACCUCCAAAUUUUGCUUUCCAAAUGAGGUAAUAGGAGGAUAUUUUUAUUUUAUUUUUUCUUUGCCUCUCUUUCAAAUUUGAUUAACUUCCAUGGAAAACGUAUUUUAACUAGCCAUGGAAAAUGGAUUUUUUUUUUAAAACUUUUAUAUAAGAUACAAGAACUCUUAGAGGGUUACAUUAUGUAAGUAAUACUUUAAAAAAAAUGUUUAAAAAUAUUGUGAUAUCCAAAAAUUUUACUACCUCGGAUUUUAAAUUUUAAAAAAAUUAUUUUUAAAGAAAUAAGGUAAAUCUAUACUUUUUCGUAUAAGAUAUUCUACCUUUAUAUACAAAUUUCUGAUUUUUUUUUUAAAGUGUAUCCAAAUGGACACUAAACUAUCUAGUUUCGAAUUUUUACAACUUUGAAUUGGAUUUUAUGGUAAACUAAUUGACAAUAUAACGCAUGGAUUCAUCUUAGAUUCCAUCUAUAAAUUUUUUAAUUAUCUAAUAUAAGACAUUAUAUUAAUGGGUUGAAUUAAUAAUGUAAUUAUAAUUUAUUUGGCAACUUUCUUCCUUCAAAUAUAUAAGACGAAAAUAUAUUUUAAAAAAUAAAAAAGAAUGAUAAAAAAUAGAAAAUAAAAAUAGCUUAUUUUAUUGUUUUUCUAAGAUGAUUUUGUAGAGUGUUAGUUUAUAGUUUAACUUUAUUUCAUUUUACUUUUAACAUUAUUUAUUGAGGUAUGUUCUUUUUUGAAACUCUUGUUUAGAUUUUAUAGAGAAUAUAAAUUUUAAGAAAAAAAAUGAAAUUUAAAUAAAAUAAGAAUAAAGAAAGGCAAAAGGUGGAUGAAUUUUUUGAAGGCAAAAGUUUGAUAAUUUGGCACUGUCAUGUAAUGGGUGAAAUUUUUAAAUACUCAACAAAGGCUAGUGAAAUUUAAAUUAAAACCUUGACAUGUACCUUUUCGACCAAAAUCUUUGGAGUUGGUGUAAAGUUUUGAGUAUGAGAGAGGUUAGUCUAGGGAAUAUUAUUGCACAUUAGUUCAAAUAAAACAUCAACAUUUUUUUUUGUUAAAUUCUAAAUGAACACCACUAUAAAUUAAUGCGAUUUUGUAUGCUCAAUUAAAUAAACUCGUUCUUAAGGCAUCACAUGAAGUGUUUAAGUCUAAUUAAUAUUAAUUAAAAAUGAUUAUAUCAAAAAAAAUCCAAAGUAAUUUUUUUUUAUCAUAAGUCAAGUAGGAUAGUUUUAUAAAUAAUUGGUUCUAGUUUCUAGUAUUAUUGUACACAAUCGCUAUGUUUGUUGCACCUCCAAAAAAUCUACUACUUGUAAUUAAUUGUAUAUUAUUCUCCAUAUUCACAUCAGUUUAUGUAGUAUGAUUAAUUUAGCAACAAAAUAUAAGUUUACUUGAAAUCGCUUUAAAUUCCUAUGAUAUUAAAGUUUAAGAUUAAAACAAUGUAACAUUAGCCAAAAAGACUAAGAUCUAUAAUGUAACAAAUAAAAUUUAGAAAAUUCAAGGCAGGGUAAACUCGCACCUGUUCUACCCAGAAGAGUGGCUCAAGUUCACAUUCAGAAUUUAUUUGUUGAAAGAGUAUCUCCACUUUAUCACAAUCGAGCACUUCCAAUUCUUUCAGAAGUAGCCAGCUUGAACUAAACCUUCUAGAGCAAAAUCUUUUGAGUUGGUGUAAACCGGAGAGUGUGAGAGAGGUAAGGUUAGGGAAUAAGAGUAAAGGUGCUGCUUCAUCUUCAUUUUCAUUGGCAACAAUUGCCUCCACUCCACUCUCCGAUAUAUAUAGGUCCUCAAGUUGCACAAGAGCACUCGCCACAGAAACCCGAAAAAGGUUUAGCAAUUUGUUGAAUCCCCUUACAUGCAAUUUCCUUAAUUUGGAAAAUGAAUUUGUUGGAAGUUGGUCAGGCCACAAUGCUCUUAUAUUAUCCAGUCCGCAUACAUACAAGGACUCCAAGCCUUGGAGUGCAACCUGUGCAAUUGAUAAUCCCUUUGGUUAAUAAUAUAUACAUAUACAUUCCUAAUGAUUAGACACAUGUAAAUAGAAAAUAAGAGGUUAAAGGAGAAUAUAUCAGUAUAACAAAGCACAAAAUUUAAACUAGAUUAAAGAAGAUCAAGAAAGAGAAAAGAAAAGAAAAAGCCUCCAGAUUUUGAAGAUACAAUGAAACUUAAAAAAAAAAAAAAAAAACCUCCAAAUUUUCCUUUCGAAAUGAGGUAAUAAGAGGAUUUUUUUUUUCUUUUUUCUUUGCCUCUCUUUCAAAUUUGAUUAACUUCUAUGGAAAACGUAUUUUAACUAGUUAUGGAAAACGGAUUUUUUUUUUUAAAAACUUUUAUAUAAGAUACAAGUAAUACUUUAAAAAAAUUGUGAUAUCUAAAAAAUUUUUUGAAAAAUUAUUUUUAAAGAAAUAAGGUAAAUCUAUACUUUUUGUAUAAGAUGUUCUACCUUUGUAUUCAAAUUUCUGAUUUUUUUUUUUUAAAGUGUAUCCAAAUGCACACUAAACUAUCUAGUUUUUAAUUGUUACAACUUUGAAUUGGAUUUUAUGGUAAACUAAUUUACAAGUUAAUGCAUAGAUUCAUCUUAGAUUCCAUCUAUAAAUUUUUUUAAUUAUCUAAUAUAAGACAGUAUAUUAAUGGGUUGAAUUAAUAAUGUAAUUAUAAUUUAUUUGGCAACUUUCUUCCUUCAAAUAUAUAAAAUGAAAAUAAAUUUUAAAAAAUAAAAAAUAAAAAAAAGAUUUUUUUUAUAGUUUUUCUAAGAUGAUUUUGUAGAGUUCUGUUAGUUUAUAGUUUUCACUUUAUUUAUUGAGGUAUGUUCUUUUUUGAAACUCUUGUUUAGAUUUUAUUGAGAAUAUAAAUUUUAAGAAAAAAAAUAAAAUUUAAAUAAAAUAAGAAUAAAGAAAGGCAAAAGCUGGAUGAAUUUUUUUAAGGCAAAAGUUUGAUAAUUUGGCACUCUCAUGUAAUGGGUGAAAUUUUUAAAUACUCAACAAAGGCUAGUGAAAUUUAAAUUAAAACCAUGACAUGUACCUUUUAGACCAAAAUCUUUGGAGUUGGUGUAAUGUUUUGAGUAUGAGAGAGGUUAGUCUAGGGAAUAUUAUUGCACAUUAGUUCAAAUAAAACAUCAACAUUUUUUUUUGUUAAAUUCUAAAUGAACACCACUAUAAAUUAAUGCGAUUUUGUAUGCUCAAUUAAAUAAACUCGUUCUUAAGGCAUCACAUGAAGUGUUUAAGUCUAAUUAAUAUUAAUUAAAAAUGAUUAUAGUAAAAAAAAUCCAAAGUAAUUUUUUUUUAUCAUAAGUCAAGUAGGAUAGUUUUAUAAAUAAUUGGUUCUAGUUUCUAGUAUUAUUGUAGACAAUCGCUAUGUUUGUUGCACCUCCAAAAAAUCUACUACUUGUAAUUAAUUGUAUAUUAUUCUCCAUAUUCACAUCAGUUUAUGUAGUAUGAUUAAUUUAGCAACAAAAUAUAAGUUUACUUGAAAUGGCUUUAAAUUCCUAUGAUAUUAAAGUUUAAGAUUAAAACAAUGUAACAUUAGCAAAAAAGAUUAAGAUCUAUAAUGUAACAAAUAAAAUUUAGAAAAUUCAAGGCAGGGUAAACUCGCACCUGUUCUACCCAGAAGAGUGGCUCAAGUUCACAUUCAGAAUUUAUUUGUUGAAAGAGUAUCUCCACUUUAUCACAAUCGAGCACUUCCAAUUCUUUCAGAAGUAGCCAGCUUGAACUAAACCUUCUAGAGCAAAAUCUUUUGAGUUGGUGUAAACCGGAGAGUGUGAGAGAGGUAAGGUUAGGGAAUAAGAGUAAAGGUGCUGCUUCAUCUUCAUUUUCAUUGGCAACAAUUGCCUCCACUCCACUCUCUGAUAUAUAUAGGUCCUCAAGUUGCACAAGAGCACUCGCCACAGAAACCCGAAAAAGGUUUAGCAAUUUGUUGAAUCCCCUUACAUGCAAUUUCCUUAAUUUGGAAAAUGAAUUUGUUGGAAGUUGGUCAGGCCACAAUGCUCUUAUAUUAUCCAGUCCGCAUACAUACAAGGACUCCAAGCCUGGGAGUGCAACCUGUGCAAUUGAUAAUCCCUUUGGUUAAUAAUAUAUACAUAUACAUUCCUAAUAAUUAGACACAUGUAAAUAGAAAAUAAGAGGUUAAAGGAGAAUAUAUCAGUAUAACAAAGCACAAAAUUUAAACUAGAUUAAAGAAGAUCAAGAAAGAGAAAAGAAAAGAAAAAGCCUCCAGAUUUUGAAGAUACAAUGAAACUUAAAAAAAAAAAAAAAAAACCUCCAAAUUUUCCUUUCGAAAUGAGGUAAUAAGAGGAUUUUUUUUUUAUUUUUUCUUUGCCUCUCUUUCAAAUUUGAUUAACUUCUAUGGAAAACGCAUUUUAACUAGUUAUGGAAAACGGAUUUUUUUUUUUUAAAACUUUUAUAUAAGAUACAAGUAAUACUUUAAAAAAAUUGUGAUAUCUAAAAAAUUUUUUGAAAAAUUAUUUUUAAAGAAAUAAGGUAAAUCUAUACUUUUUGUAUAAGAUGUUCUACCUUUGUAUUCAAAUUUCUGAUUUUUUUUUUUAAAGUGUAUCCAAAUGCACAAUAAACUACCUAGUUUUUAAUUGUUACAACUUUGAAUUGGAUUUUAUGGUAAACUAAUUUACAAGUUAAUGCAUGGAUUCAUCUUAGAUUCCAUCUAUAAAUUUUUUUAAUUAUCUAAUAUAAGACAUUAUAUUAAUGGGUUGAAUUAAUAAUGUAAUUAUAAUUUAUUUGGCAACUUUCUUCCUUCAAAUAUAUAAAAUGAAAAUAAAUUUUAAAAAAUAAAAAAAAUGAAAAAAUAAAAAAUAAAAAAAAGAUUUUUUUUAUAGUUUUUCUAAGAUGAUUUUGUAGAGUACUGUUAGUUUAUAGUUUUCACUUUAUUUAUUGAGGUAUGUUCUUUUUUGAAACUCUUGUUUAGAUUUUAUUGAGAAUAUAAAUUUUAAGAAAAAAAAUGAAAUUUAAAUAAAAUAAGAAUAAAGAAAGGCAAAAGGUGGAUGAAUUUUUUUACGGCAAAAGUUUGAUAAUUUGGCACUAUCAUGUAAUGGGUGAAAUUUUUAAAUACUCAACAAAGGCUAGUGAAAUUUAAAUUAAAACCUUGACAUGUACCUUUUAGACCAAAAUCUUUGGAGUUGGUGUAAAGUUUUGAGUAUGAGAGAGGUUAGUCUAGGGAAUAUUAUUGCACAUUAGUUCAAAUAAAACAUCAACAUUUUUUUUUGUUAAAUUCUAAAUGAACACCACUAUAAAUUAAUGCGAUUUUGUAUGCUCAAUUAAAUAAACUCGUUCUUAAGGCAUCACAUGAAGUAUUUAAGUCUAAUUAAUAUUAAUUAAAAAUGAUUAUAGUAAAAAAAAUCCAAAGUAAUUUUUUUUUAUCAUAAGUCAAGUAGGAUAGUUUUAUAAAUAAUUGGUUCUAGUUUCUAGUAUUAUUGUAGACAAUCGCUAUGUUUGUUGCACCUCCAAAAAAUCUACUACUUGUAAUUAAUUGUAUAUUAUUCUCCAUAUUCACAUCAGUUUAUGUAGUAUGAUUAAUUUAGCAACAAAAUAUAAGUUUACUUGAAAUGGCUUUAAAUUCCUAUGAUAUUAAAGUUUAAGAUUAAAACAAUGUAACAUUAGCCAAAAAGAUUAAGAUCUAUAAUGUAACAUAUAAAAUUUAGAAAAUUCAAGGAAGGGUAAACUCGCACCUGUUCUACCCAGAAGAGUGGCUCAAGUUCACAUUCAGAAUUUAUUUGUUGAAAGAGUAUCUCCACUUUAUCACAAUAGAGCACUUCCAAUUCUUUCAGAAGUGGCCAGCUUGAACUAAACCUUCUAGAGCAAAAUCUUUUGAGUUGGUGUAAACCGGAGAGUGUGAGAGAGGUAAGGUUAGGGAAUAAGAGUAAAGGUGCUGCCUCAUCUUCAUUUUCAUUGGCAACAAUUGCCUCCACUCCACUCUGAAAUAUAUUUAGGUUCUCAAGUUGCACAAGAGCACUCGCCACAGAAACCGGAAAAAGGUUUAGCAAUUUGUUGCAUCCCCUUACUUGCAAUUCCCUUAAUUUGGAAAAUGAAUUUGCUGGAAGUUGGUCAGGCCACAAUGCUCUUAUAUUAUCUAGUCCGCAUACAGAAAAGGACUCCAAGCCUGGGAGUGCAACCUGUGCAAUUGAUGAUCCCUUUAGUUAAUAAUAUAUACAUAUACAUUCCUAAUAAUUAGCACAUGUAAAUAGAAAAUAAGAGGUUAAAGGAGAAUAUAUCAGUAUAACAAAGCACAAAAUUUAAACUAGAUUCAAGAAGAUCAAGAAAGAGAAAAGAAAAGAAAAAGCCUCCAGAUUUUAAAGAUACAAUGAAACUUAAAAAAAAAAAAAAAAAACCUCCAAAUUUUCCUUUCGAAAUGAGGUAAUAAGAGGAUUUUUUUUUUUUUCUUUUUUCUUUGCCUCUCUUUCAAAUUUGAUUAACUUCUAUGGAAAACGUAUUUUAACUAGUUAUGGAAAACGGAUUUUUUUUUUAAACUUUUAUAUAAGAUACAAGUAAUACUUUUAAAAAAUUGUGAUAUCUAAAAAAGUUUUUGAAAAAUUAUUUUUAAAGAAAUAAGGUAAAUCUAUACUUUUUGUAUAAGAUCUUCUACCUUUAUAUACAAAUUUCUGAUUUUUUUUUUUAAAGUGUAUCCAAAUGGACACUAAACUAUCUAGUUUUUAAUUGUUACAACUUUGAAUUGGAUUUUAUGGUAAACUAAUUUACAAGUUAAUGCAUGGAUUCAUCUUAGAUUCCAUCUAUAAAUUUUUUUAAUUAUCUAAUAUAAGACAUUAUAUUAAUGGGUUGAAUUAAUAAUGUAAUUAUAAUUUAUUUGGCAACUUUCUUCCUUCAAAUAUAUAAAAUGAAAAUAAAUUUUAAAAAAUAAAAAAGAAUGAAAAAAAUAAAAAAUAAAAAAAGCUUUUUUUUAUAGUUUUUCUAAGAUGAUUUUGUAGAGUACUGUUAGUUUAUAGUUUUAACUUUAUUUCAUUUUACUUUUAACUUUAUUUAUUGAGGUAUGUUCUUUUUUGAAACUCUUGUUUAGAUUUUAUAGAGAAUAUAAAUUUUAAGAAAAAAAAAGGAAAUUUAAAUAAAAUAAGAAUAAAGAAAGGCAAAAGGUGGAUGAAUUUUUUUAAGGCAAAAGUUUGAUAAUUUGGCACUAUCAUGUAAUGGGUGAAAUUUUUAAAUACUCAACAAAGGCUAGUGAAAUUUAAAUUAAAAGCUUGACAUGUACCUUUUCGACCAAAAUCUUUGGAGUUGGUGUAAAGUUUUGAGUAUGAGAGAGGUUAGUCUAGGGAAUAUUAUUGCACAUUUGUUCAAAUAAAACAUCAACAUUUUUUUUUGUUAAAUUCUAAAUGAACACCACUAUAAAUUAAUGCGAUUUUGUAUGCUCAAUUAAAUAAACUCAUUCUUAAGGCAUCACAUGAAGUGUUUAAGUCUAAUUAAUAUUAAUUAAAAAUGAUUAUAUUAAAAAAAAUCCAAAGUAAUUUAUUUUUAUCAUAAGUCAAGUAGGAUAGUUUUAUAAAUAAUUGGUUCUAGUUUCUAGUAUUAUUGUACACAAUCGCUAUGUUUGUUGCACCUCCAAAAAUCUACUACUUGUAAUUAAUUGUAUAUUAUUCUCCAUAUUCACAUCAGUUUAUGUAGUAUGAUUAAUUUAGCAACAAAAUAUAAGUUUACUUGAAAUCGCUUUAAAUUCCUAUGAUAUUAAAGUUUAAGAUUAAAACAAUUUAACAUUAGCCAAAAAGAUUAAGAUCUAUAAUGUAACAUAUAAAAUUUAGAAAAUUCAAGGAAGGGUAAACUCGCACCUGUUCUACCCAGAAGAGUGGCUCAAGUUCACAUUCAGAAUUUAUUUGUUGAAAGAGUAUCUCCACUUUAUCACAAUCGAGCACUUCCAAUUCUUUCAGAAGUGGCCAACUUGAACUAAACUUUCUAGAGCAAAAUCUUUUGAGUUGGUGUAAACCGGAGAGUGUGAGAGAGGUAAGGUUAGGGAAUAAAAGUAAAAGUGCUGCUUCAUCUUCAUUUUCAUUGUGAACAAUUGCCUCCACUCCACUAUAAAAUAUAUUUAGGUUCUCAAGUUGCACAAGAGCACUCGCCACAGAAACCGGAAAAAGGUUUAGCAAUUUGUUGCAUCCCCUUACUUGCAAUUUCCUUAAUUUGGAAAAUGAAUUUGCUGGAAGUUGGUCAGGCCACAAUGCUCUUAUAUUAUCUAGUCCGCAUACAGACACGGACUCCAAGCCUGGGAGUGCAACCUGUGCAAUUGAUGAUCCCUUUAGUUAAUAAUAUAUACAUAUACAUUCCUAAUAAUUAGACACAUGUAAAUAGAAAAU
rnacentral:lncRNA from 1 species